CCGAUUCUCUUUCUGUGAGCAAACAACCCAAAUCCUGGUAUCGCUGUAGUGUUUGUGGGACAACAUCUCGAAAAACACCAGACAGGAAAUUUUUCAGAUUUCCUAAGGAUCCUAUUAGAUCAAAACAAUGGGCUCCCGCAUGCAGUAAUCAAGACUUGUUAAAUAUAAUCACCAACUAAUUUGUAUAAAACUGCACUAAUAUGUUCG